UGCAAGUCGAACGGCAGCACGGACUUCGGUCUGGUGGCGAGUGGCGCAUGGGUGAGUAAUAUAUCGGAACGUGCCCAGUCGUGGGGGAUAACGUAGUGAAAAUUACGCUAAUACCGCAUACGAUCUAAGGAUGAAAGCGGGGGAUCGCAAGACCUCGCGCGAUUGGAGCGGCCGAUAUCAGAUUAGGUAGUUGGUGAGGUAAAGGCUCACCAAGCCAACGAUCUGUAGCUGGUCUGAGAGGACGACCAGCCACACUGGAACUGAGACACGGUCCAGACUCCUACGGGAGGCAGCAGUGGGGAAUUUUGGACAAUGGACGCAAGUCUGAUCCAGCCAUUCCGCGUGCAGGACGAAGGCCUUCGGGUUGUAAACUGCUUUUGUACAGAACGAAAAGGUCUCUAUUAAUACUAGGGGCUCAUGACGGUACUGUAAGAAUAAGCACCGGCUAACUACGUGCCAGCAGCCGCGGUAAUACGUAGGGUGCAAGCGUUAAUCGGAAUUACUGGGCGUAAAGCGUGCGCAGGCGGUUAUAUAAGACGGAUGUGAAAUCCCCGGGCUCAACCUGGGAACUGCAUUUGUGACUGUAUAGCUGGAGUGCGGCAGAGGGGGAUGGAAUUC
rnacentral:rRNA from 1 species